UGUUUGCUAUGAUGAAUUGCAAGGACGGUAUCUGAGUAAGUUGGCUCUUGAAAAAGGCCACCUUCCUUGAUUACGCAUCCUAAACUGAUCAUAUAUUCUGAGCAAGCA
rfam:Triticum aestivum genome assembly, contig: Triticum_aestivum_CS42_TGACv1_scaffold_543100_6DS